AUUGAACGCUGGCGGCAGGCCUAACACAUGCAAGUCGAGCGGAGUGGCGGACGGGUGAGUAAUGCCUAGGAAUCUGCCUGGUAGUGGGGGAUAACGUCCGGAAACGGGCGCUAAUACCGCAUACUAUCAGAUGAGCCUAGGUCGGAUUAGCUAGUUGGUGGGGUAAAGGCCUACCAAGGCGACGAUCCGUAACGGGUCGGAGAGGAUGAUCAGUCGCUCUGGAACUGAGAGCCGGUCCAGACACCUACGGUAGGCAGCAGUGGGGAAUAUGGGACAAUGGGCGAAAGCCUGAUCCAGCAAUGCUGGGUGUGUGAAGAAGGUCUUCGGAUUGUAAAGCACUUUAAGUUGGGAGGCGUUACCAUCAGCAUAAGCACCGGCUAACUUCGUGCCAGCAGCCGCGUUAAUAC
rnacentral:rRNA from 1 species